UGGGUUGUGGCUCAGUGGUAGAGUGCUUACCUUGCAUGCAUGAGGAACUGAGUUCGAUCCUCAGCACCACAU
rfam:Ictidomys tridecemlineatus contig050915, whole genome shotgun sequence.